GCUUUAAGAAUUGUAGUACUUAUAAUGAUGCUUAAACUAAUUAACUAUAUCUUAAACUAAUUAAGUAUGCAUAUAAAGGAAGGCAUCUUCAUGUAAUUCUGACUACCAUCCUUGGACCCUGAAGCCCACAAGCACAUGUCACUAUUCCAACACGCAUCAUCAGGUCACUCAGGGUGCCAUGUCGUCAUUCGCCAUAUCAUUAAAACAUGUCGUCAUAUGUAGACUGACAUCCAAGCAUCUGCGGAUUAAUCAACAUAUUUUUAAUUCAAGUUCGGUCUGCAGUGAAUGCCCAUAUAUAGUAAGCAAAAAUAUUCAUAUAGAUAAACAUAAGUCACUAUCAGAUUGACCAACAAAGGUCUUCAAUUCAAUAUUAGUGAUUGCACAGCAGCAGCAGAGUUGUAAGAAACAAUUUCAGUUGGACUGCCAUCAACAUAUAACAACAAUCCAUAGAUGGCAGUAAAGAUCAAAGCUAAAUGAGUGGAUCUUACAUAGACUGCAGCCACCAUUUGUCAGUUAAUAAUUAUUAAAAUAUGAUCAUACCGGAAGAAAAAAAGUUAUUGUCCUAUUUUGAGACAAAACAAUUGUAAUCAAAUACCUAGGUUUAUAACAAAAGCUACCUAGGAGAUGAGCCUUUUUUGUGAUUGCUACCUCGCAUGAAAAGUAGACGCAUACAAAAAAUAGAACGAUGGCUGGAGCUGUCUUGCGUGAAAGCUAUUUGCAACUUGAUCAGACCUAUGGUACGUAGUGUAUGCGGAAAUCCUGCUAGUUCAAUUAGCUGGGCAGUCAAUGGUAAUAGAUGGAGGGGGUAGAUGGUGAGUACCUUCAUCAGGAGCAUUGCAAACACUUCAUAGGAGACCUAGCCGUCAAGGUCAAACCUUCGGCCUCAGGAGAAGUGGAGGAGUAGCAAAAACAUGAUAGAGAAAGGAGGUGGCGUUUCAUGGAAGAAAACGGGAGAGUUGGCCGGGGCAACAUGGACUGCUAGGUGAUCUAAGAACGAUUAGAUCGAAAAAACCUAGGACAUUUA
rnacentral:lncRNA from 1 species